rnacentral:lncRNA from 1 species
GAUCCUCAACCUGUACAAUGUUUUCAAAAUCCAUACAUGUUGUAACACAUGUCAAUAUUUCUAACAAAUAAUAUUCCAUUGCGUUGAUCCAUCGUUUUGUUGAUUCAUUCAUCGGUUAAUGGACAUUGGUAGUGGUUCCACUUUUUGACUGUUAUGAAUAUUGAUGCUAUGAAUAUGCAUAUGAAAAGCCUCAUGGGAUCAAAUAGCAACUCUGCGCUUAACAUUGUGGGAAAAUGUCGUCCUGUUUUUCAAAGAGGCAGCACCACCCUUUCAGACUCCUCAGCAACGCCUGAGAGCUUCAGUUUCUUCCCAUCCUCCUCACGAAGUCUGACUGUAUGUCCUUCUAGAUGUAACGUGGAAUCCCAUUGGGAUUUGGAUUGACAUUUUCCUAAUGACUAAUGACGUUAAGCGUUGUUUGUGCACUUGUUAUUUGUGUUUAUUCUUGAGACAGAUAUGUCCUAAACCUCUUACUAAUUUGUAAUUGGGUUGUUUGUCCAAUUUACCUAAUUACCAGAUCACCAAUUGCCGAAUUAAGAAGUCCAAUUUGCCUAAAAGUCAAAAAAAUUUACCCCUAUGCUUUCUUCUAAUGUUUUACAUGUUUAGCUCUAACACUUACGUCUCUGAUGUAUUUUAUGUUUUCUUCUUUUGAAUAGCAUGAGUUAGG